GAUCAUGGCUCAGGAUGAACGCUAGCUACAGGCUUAACACAUGCAAGUCGAGGGGCAGCAUGUUGGUUGCUUGCAACCAACGAUGGCGACCGGCGCACGGGUGAGUAACGCGUAUCCAACCUUCCGCAUACUCGGGGAAUAGCCUUUCGAAAGAAAGAUUAAUGCCCGAUGGUUUCCCGAAUCCGCAUGGAGAGCGGGAAUAAGAUUCAUCGGUAUGCGAUGGGGAUGCGU
rnacentral:rRNA from 1 species